GCUUGCUUCUUGACGUUAGCGGCGGACGGGUGAGUAACCGUGGGCAACCUGCCUGUAAGACUGGGAUAACUUCGGGAAACCGAAGCUAAUACCGGAUAGGAUCUUCUCCUUCAUGGGAGAUGAUUGAAAGAUGGUUUCGGCUAUCACUUACAGAUGGGCCCGCGGUGCAUUAGCUAGUUGGUGAGGUAACGGCUCACCAAGGCAACGAUGCAUAGCCGACCUGAGAGGGUGAUCGGCCACACUGGGACUGAGACACGGCCCAGACUCCUACGGGAGGCAGC
rnacentral:rRNA from 1 species